UACGUAGGGGCGCAAGCGUUGUCCGGAAUUAUUGGGCGUAAAGAGCUCGUAGGCGGUCUGUCACGUCGGAUGUGGAAAGCCCCGGGGCUUAACCCCGGGUCUGCAUUCGAUACGGGCAGACUAGAGUGUGGUAGGGGAGAUCGGAAUUCCUGGUGUAGCGGUGAAAUGCGUAGAUAUCUGGAGGAACACCGGUGGCGAAGGCGGCAUCCUGGACCAAUUCUGACGCUGAGGAGCGAAAGCCAGGGGAGCAAACGGG
rnacentral:rRNA from 1 species